rnacentral:rRNA from 1 species
UACGGGGGGAGCAAGCGUUGUUCGGAUUUACUGGGCGUAAAGGAUGCGUAGGCGGACAUUUAAGUCAGAUGUGAAAUACCCGAGCUUAACUUGGGUGCUGCAUUUGAAACUGGGUGUCUAGAGUGCAGGAGAGGUAAGUGGAUUUCCUAGUGUAGCGGUGAAAUGCGUAGAGAUUAGGAAGAACACCAGUGGCGAAGGCGACUUACUGGACUGUAACUGACGCUGAGGCAUGAAAGCGUGGGGAGCAAACAGG